UUCGUAGACGUCCGUGCGUAGUCUCUACGGUUUCGAGUGCCUCCGACUUAGAUUGUGAUGAACUACCCUGAACUGUCGACGUGAACACGGAAUUACUCAUCCAGCUGGUCAUCAUUCAAACAAUGGACAUCGAAGAAAGGAAGGAGAAGAAGGAGAUCACAGAACACCGAGACAAAGGAUGUAGAAAUCGUUCGUGUGGAAGUUCGCGUUCCUUCUUCCGUUUUACCCAUCGAAAGGGUGUCAGCAUUGAUCGCUUGUACACAGCGCCCUGAGCUGGGUGACUUGUCACACUUACCUCUCAAUACACUGUUGUGCGGUGAGCACUACACACUGGAUUGCCUCUCCUGCCAGAUUGGGGCUGAAGAAGACACCUUGCCCGACAGUUCCACAGCAAGAUUCUCGUAGCAGUAUGCCAGAUGCUCCAAGCAGUGCAAAGGUAGACCUUCUACCACUACUCCUGUUCCCGCCAUCAUCGUCGACAACGGACACACCUAGCAUAGCUGUCUCCAAUACCUUCACAUCUGACUACUGGAUAUGUGGUGAACUGCGCAAUGCUCCCGUGAAGACUGUUGCAAGACAUGUGUGUAUAGCGCCACUUUUUUGCAACGAUUCAUAAAGAAAAAUAAAUUGAUUGAUAAUCCUGCAUCGCUCUUCGUUCCUCAACUUUUGGGCGCCA